AUUUGUCAAGAAGAAGUUUGAAGAGUUGUAUUUUCAAAGCACAACCCCUGAUCGUGUGGAUCGUGUGUUUAAAAUAUAUAGAACCACUGCCCUUGAUCAGAAACUUGUGAAGAAAACUUUCAAGCUUGUGGAUGAGACUUUAAGACGGAGAAAUCUCUUCGAAGCUGGCUUAUUGUGACCAAGAAGGAUUUACUUCAAAAUGAAUGUUCAUAGUUUGAAGAACUGAAAUAUUUUGAAAAUUAAAAGUUGGAAGAAACACCUCCAUCACCAUCUGCUGGCAUCAGAAUUUUUGCACAGGC
rnacentral:misc_RNA from 1 species